rnacentral:lncRNA from 1 species
GCUUCUUCCACAUCAUCCGGUGCCUCCCUUACCUGCCCAGCUCGAAGGUCAGGAGCCAUCCUCCAUGUAUCUCGGUCCCUCAAUUCUCCAGAAAGGAGGGUGUGCUGCCUCAGAUGACAAGACAGAUCCUAAUCUCAACCACCCUGGCCUUCUCCACUGCAGUGGCCAGAACUUUUCCAUCCCCAAUGAGAUUGCAAUAGUUCUGUAGCGCCCCUGGGUCUACACUUGCUCUCCUGUCACCCAGCAUGCACACACAAGCAAGAAUGCUCUGUCCAUUGUUGUGCCUCUCCUCAACUUGAAAUUCUUAUGAAAAUUUCCUGCUUCACUUUACAUGGAAUGUGGACGCCUCACAUACCAAAAGUAGGUGAGUGGGUCUCCAUGUACUUCUCUGUGACCAUCUUGUUCCUCUUCCUGACCAGUCAUGCUGGGCUCCCAUCUGUGGUCAGACCUGGUGAUGUCAUUGCCAGUCUUCAUGGAAUCCUUCUGAUAAAGUGAAUCUUCAGUCAAAAACAAAACAAAACAAAACAAAAUAACAACCCCCCCCCCCACACACACACACAUUCUUAGAGAACUCUUCUGUGACCACUUGUCUAAAUGAGUCCAUCUCCAAAGGCAUUUAUCUGGACUAAAAUCACUAUUUAGUAGUUGUUAUUACUGUUUUCAGUUUACAGUGGCAACCUCCAUUUUCUGGAAGCCUAAGUUUACUGAUAUCUUGCCCACCUCCAUGGGAGCAGACCUGCCCACUCCAGUACUUCUUGCUUAUCAGAACGUCUGUCUGGUGUUGAAUGACAGUUCCAGUUAU